rnacentral:rRNA from 1 species
GGGUGGGCACUCUAGAAUGACUGCCGGUGACAAACCGGAGGAAGGCGGGGAUGACGUCAAAUCAUCAUGCCCCUUAUGACCUGGGCUACACACGUACUACAAUGGCCGGUACAACGGGCAGCGAAGGAGCGAUCCGGAGCGAAUCCUAAAAAGCCGGUCUCAGUUCGGAUUGGAGGCUGCAACUCGCCUCCAUGAAGUCGGAAUUGCUAGUAAUCGC